UACGUAGGCAGCGAGCGUUGUUCGGAAUUACUGGGCGUAAAGAGUGUGUAGGCGGUGUUCCAAGUUCGGUGUGAAAUCUCCCGCUUAACUGGGAGGGUGCGCCGAAAACUGGAAUGCUCGAGCGUGGGAGAGGAAAGCGGAAUUCCUGGUGUAGCGGUGAAAUGCGUAGAUAUCAGGAGGAACACCAGCGGUGUAGACGGCUUUCUGGACCAUUGCUGACGCUAGACACGAAAGCGUGGGUAGCAAACAGG
rnacentral:rRNA from 1 species